rnacentral:lncRNA from 1 species
ACCCAGAAGCAAAAAAAAGUUGUAUUCCAUCACUAACUUGAACCUUAAGCUGCUGGCCUAACAUGAGGAUACUUGAACAAAACUCAACUCUUUCAUAUGUUUUCUCCAAUCCCCAUCACAGAAUCUAAAAAAUAAAAAUACAAAAUUAUAUAAAAAAAUUCCUUCCAGAGAGGCAAAGUAACUUAGAGCUCCUAUUCCUAUAUAUUCUCUCCUUUUUGUGCCACACUCCAUUACACAUCUACUUUGUUCCUCUUUUAUCUUUAGAAGAACAAUGGGUAUGGUUGUAGUGAUCUCCCUGCCAUUGAUUCUGCUUUCUUUACUUGUUGGAUUUGGGUGUUACUUCCUGGGAAGAGCUAAUGGUCGGCGAGACGUGGUCAGCACAAGUGCUCAAGUUUUUGGGGUGCCAACACCACAACCCGGAAGCUCUGCUCCUGCUCCUGUUCCUGCUCAGGCUCCAGCUUCUUCUCCUUCCCAUUUCAAUCCUGCCAGCGAAUCGGAAAAUAUAUGAUUAUCAUCAUAAAUAAAUAAGGCUGCUUCUUCUAUAUUACUAUUAUGUCUUGUUGCUCUAGACUGUUAUGUAACUUGCAUGAUGUGCAAAUUUUGUUUUGGUGUAAAUUGGUGAUAUUGUGAAUAUAUUUUUAGAACUAUAUAUAUAUAUCAUUUUCUAAAUCAAAAUAAAUAGUUCCAAUUUUGCAAGCAGCUCUUAGAAUUGAAGGUGCAAAACAAUUCUAAAAGGUUUUUACAUGAAAUCUCAACUAGAACCAUUUUCACAUCCUUUAAAAAAAAAUUCAAUCUGAUAUUAUAUAUAUGCCUCAAAACAAACACGACUGGAUUAAAUCUAGUUCCAGCAGUGACGAAAUCUUGAUUUUUAGCUAGGCUGGGAAAUGCAGUCCAACCUCUAGAGAGCUUAGCGUGUGAUCAUAUUCACAGUCCAUGAUCUGUUGGUAUAUUAAUUCUGCAUUAAAAAUCGAAAAUUCACUCGUACACUAGUGGAAUAAUUGAUGCAACUAAAACUUUCUUUGCUACCUACCAGUACUACAACAUUGGUCCAUCCAUGCAUAGCAUUUCAUCUAGAAAUUAGUACAGCAAAGUUCAAUCUGGUUUUAGCUCAUGGAAAUUAAUAUGUAGAUGAGAAAUGCAGCUCACGAACCUAAACAAUCAAAAUUUUAAACUACAUUUUGUCACAGGUUUAAUUUCUUAAAAAUCACAUUGGAGUCCUCCAGCUUUCUGAGGUGCACAGACCAUUCUGGGGCACAUUUGCGCAACGCUCUUUACAAAUGCUGGUGGGAUUUUCUACAUUGAAAUACAAUCUAAAGGUAAGCCCUCUACUGUUAUUGCCAAUAAAAAAUAAACCCAAAAUUUUGUGCAUAACAUUUAUCUCCCACAAGAUUAUAGAGAGUGAUGACUACUUUUUAUGUUUUUUUAUAUAUAUUAAUGGACUCCACCAAAUGAUAUUUUAUGUACCUUAGUUCAUCCUUUUGUGAAAAAAAAAAUAAAAAAAUUGUACCUUUAGAACUAGGGGCAUAAAUAAACCGAGUCGAGCUGGUAUUGAAUUAUUCAGAUUUGGUUCAUAAGAUUUAUCGAAUGAAAUAAGGUUUGAUUGAGUCUGGUUUAACUACCGAGUCGAGCAGAUCUCGGAAUUUGAACUUUUCGAGCGAACAAUUUGAAGAGGUUUGAGUAAAUUAUCAAUCUUUAAAAUUUGAUAUGAAUUUAGAGCGGAGGAAUUGUUAAGAAGUAAAACUAAGUAAUAUUUGUUAUUUCAAAAUUUAACAUAAAUUCACAACACAUUCCAUAUCAAGUAGAUCAAGAUCAAAGGAGACGCUUUAAUCCAAUCAAAAAACUCCUUUUUCUGGAAAGAAGAGAAUAAUUAGUUAAAUAAAAAUGGAAGAAAGUAGGAUUACCAGUUGGUGGGAGCUCUGAUCUGAUAGGAAAACAAACUUUCAAAAUUCAGAACAUGAACCCCUCUGGCCACUUCUAGGUUUGACCAUUUUUCUCUCUUGGUUUCAGUUGAAUCCUAUAAAACCCCAACGAAUCAAAGUUUAACAGUAUCCAC